UACGGAGGGUGCAAGCGUUAUCCGGAUUCACUGGGUUUAAAGGGUGCGUAGGUGGGCAGUUAAGUCAGUGGUGAAAUCUCCGGGCUCAACCCGGAAACUGCCAUUGAUACUAUCUGUCUUGAAUAUCGUGGAGGUAAGCGGAAUAUGUCAUGUAGCGGUGAAAUGCUUAGAUAUGACUAGAACACCAAUUGCGAAGGCAGCUUACUACCCGAAUAUUGACACUGAGGCACGAAAAGCGUGGGGGAUCAAACAGG
rnacentral:rRNA from 1 species